CUACGGGUCGCAGCAGUGAGGAAUAUUGCACAAUGGGGGGAACCCUGAUGCAGCAACGCCGCGUGGAGGAUGACGCAUUUCGGUGUGUAAACUCCUUUUAUAUGUCAAGAAAAUGACGGUAGCAUAUGAAUAAGCACCGGCUAACUCCGUGCCAGCAGCCGCGGUAAUACGGAGGGUGCAAGCGUUACUCGGAAUCACUGGGCGUAAAGGACGCGUAGGCGGGUUGGAAAGUCAGGUGUGAAAUCCUACAGCUUAACUGUAGAACUGCACUUGAAACUUCUAAUCUAGAGUAUGGGAGGGGGGGAUGGAAUUAGUGGUGUAGGGGUAAAAUCCGUAGAUAUCACUAGGAAUACCUAAAGCGAAGGCGAUCUCCUGGAACAUUACCGACGCUAAGGCGUGAAAGCGUGGGGAGCAAACAGGAUUAGAUACCCCUGUAGUC
rnacentral:rRNA from 1 species